AAAAGAUUAGUUAAAACAUUAACAUUAGCAUGUCAAGCUAAAAUUACCAAUUAUGGUAUCUUUUA
rnacentral:tRNA from 1 species